GGUCACCCGGUCAUUUAACAGCCACUGGUCGGCACUGCACGGAGUUUCUCCAGCCCUCUUCGUUUCUGCCUAUGGCUCUGUAACAAAAGACUGUUCACAAGAGAAAAGCAAACGGACUUCAUUUAAUGUAAGUUUAGGGGACAUUGGAGUCCUCAGGAAAUGAAGUGGGUAGGCCUAAGCAUUUCUCUGCUGAGUUGAGCAAGAAGUGAUUGUGGCAAAGGAACUGAACACGUGGGCAGACUGAAGAAAGAUGAGCUACUGAGCAGGUCUGUUUGCUCAGAAUUCUCUUCGCCUGACCCCAUUCCUCAUGGUGCCCUGAGGGUGACCUACAUGUGGGACUCAGCUCCUGGGUUCAGGAAGAGAACAGGAGGUCAAAUGCCUUUAGCUCAAACUAACCCUAAACCAAAGGGGCACGUUUGGGGCAGUGUGUUCUGCCACCCUUCAGAGUGACUCGCUGGACCUCACGCCAGGAGGCACCCUAGCUCCCAAGGCCUUCCAUCCAGCCUGGGGCUCCCUGGGUCCUGAGGAUGCCACCAGGGGCAGGCGGAGCUCAGCUAGAUGCCCCACCUCUGCCAGCUGCUGUCAAGCCGGCUCACAAGGGACCACCUGCAUGUCCUCCCAGCUCACUCCGGCCAUGGCUCCCUCCCGUGAAAGUGGGGAGGCUGUCCUGGUCCCUUGGGGAGGAUAAAGGAAGACCUGGGAUGAAGCAAAGUAUCAACACCUCACGGGGCUGGCAUUAUUUGUCUUAAAAUCAGGGAACAGUUGUCAGAGGUGCCCACCCCCAUUCCUGGCACCACUACCCUACCCCAGACAAAAGGCACGGGGGCCUUCGGACCUCAGAGCUCCUGUGAAAGGUCUGUCAGCCCAAGUUAGACCUUGUUCUCUGCUCCUCUGACUGGGAACAGGCUGAGAGCUGGGGCAGACCUGCUCCAUCCAAGGAGGCCGCCCCAGGACAGGCUCACUGUAGCUCCCAAGUGCGGCCACCACUCAGCUCCGCUUUCACCAGCUGAGCUCCCAAGGACAUCCGGCCACUGCCAGACACCUCACCCAGAGCCAAAGGGGCAGGCGGGACCAAAAUAGCCGUCAGAUGACCACAGGGCUGGCUCCUCACCUCCCUUCCAAAGGCAGCUGCAGCUCAAAAUAGGCGAGGAGGGGGCACACACGUGUGUUAGAAUCACAAGCGGACAACACUACCCUGCCUUAGCCACCGCAGGCGGACACCAUGAGGUCGCUACGCUUUGCUUCUGCUGAAGCCCUGGUGUCCCACCCCCAGGUGGCUCUGCAGGGCCUGGACAGCGUGGCCCACAACCUCUACCCGCUCCUGUUCAAAGCCAGCUACUUGCUGGAGCGGGCGGAGGUGAUCCGACUGCUGCUGGAGCGCUGGCCGCUGGAGGAGUUCCGGCUGGGGGCGCUGCUCGGCCCGAGCACCGACCAUGGGGACGACCUGCGGGCCCGCGCCUGCCGGGCCUGCCUGGAGGCCUGUGUGAGGGGCCUGGCCGACCACGUGCUCCAGCGCAGGGGCAGGCAGCGGCUGCAGGUGGCCGACCUCACGGGAGUCCGCGAUGUUCAGGUGCCGCAGUGCCCUUGCGGGAGGGUGCUGGGCAGGUGGGGCCGCACCGAGCUGCUGGCCAGGACCUGCUGCGAGCUGCAGGUGGGCGCCGUCGCGGCCCCGCGCCCGGUCAAGGUGAUCGCGGAUCUCUUCGUCACUGAGCGCAACUUCCAGGCGGUGGUGCGCGCCCUGGCGCCGGCGGGCCCCGCCCCACUGCGCGUGCACUGCCUGUCCUUCCGCGCAGACAGCCUGGGCCCCUCCCAGCUCCUGCAGGUGCUGCGUCUGGCCGGGCCGGGCGAGCUGCGCAAGCUGCAGGUGGUGCACAACGUGCGGCUGCACGCGGGCCACGUGCAACAGCUGCUGGCCCAGGUGCGCUUCCCCCAGCUGGCCUCGCUCACCCUGCCGGCCAAGGCCUUCGACGCUCCCCCGGCCUGCACCCCAGCCGCCAACAGCGAGGACCCUCUCCUCACCUCCAUCUCCUGGGAGCUCAGCCAGAUGACCCAGCUUACCGAGCUGAGCGUGGCUUUCUCCACUCUUACCGGGAAGAUCCAGAAACUGCUCGGCCCUCUAAGGACCCCACUGAGAGCGCUGGAUCUGGCCAACUGCUCCCUGAACCACGCGGACAUGGCCUUCCUGGCAGACGGCACCCAUGCCGCCCACCUGGAGGUGCUGGACCUCAGCGGGCACAGUCUGCUCAGCCUGUUCCCCUCGACCUUCUCACGGCUGCUGGGCCGCGCGGCACAGACGCUGAGGGUUCUUACCCUGGAGGAGUGCAGCAUCACCGACGGCCAGGUGAGCAUGCUGGUCCUGGCCCUGGGCGCCUGUCGCCAGCUGCAGGAGCUGCGCUUCCUGGGCAACCCCCUGUCCGCCCGUGCCCUCCGGUGCCUCUUUGAGGCUCUCUGUGAGCUGCCCCGGCUGUGCUGGGUGGAGUUCCCUGUGCCCACCGACUGCUACCCCGAGGGCACCGCCUACCCCCAGGACGAGCUGGCUGCGUCCAAGUUCGACCGGCAGAAAUACGACGCUAUCGCCGAGGACCUGCGCGGCGUGCUGCUGCGGGCUGGCCGGGAGGACAUGCAGGUCUCCACCCCAGUCUUCGGAAGUUUCGACCCAGACAUUCAGGAAACAAGCAAUGAACUUGGAGCUUUCUUGCUGCAGGCUUUCAAGACUGCCCUGGAAAACUUCUCCCAGGCCCUGAGACAGAUGGAGUAGGCUUGGGUGGCAGCUCAUGCCCUCACCACCGUCUGCAAAGCAUCUCUUAGUGAAAAUUGUUCCCUACAUCUUUUAGGCUCUGGAGGCGAGGACUCCCUGCCUUCCAGGCGAGGAGGCCUGAGGCCACUUUUGUGUCAGAUCACAAGGGCCUGCUGGAGUGGAAAGUGCCCAAGGAUUGGCAGAAGCACCCCCACCGGGUGGCACAGAGAAGCACCGGAGAACCCGAGCGGCUGUUGUGGUCAUGGUGCCCGCAGGGCUGCGUGGGAGGUGCAGGCGGCAGUGGGAGCCAAGAGGAGGUGGCAGGAGCAGGAUGUCAGGCUGGCGGGAAGAAGUGAGAGAACAUGUUGUAGAACAGAUGACAGGAAAACAACCAAGUGGGAAGAGAGUGAAAAUGAAGAGCAGGGGGCUGUGCUGUCUGUCCCUCCCUCCCAGUUGUAGGCAGUGCCACUUACAAGGUGACCAAGGUGACCUCUGUUUGAAUAUUUACAAAGGCCAGUCUAGCAUGGAACAUGGGCUUCAGCUAAUGGCUUCUAUCCGCUUCUGAGGGCGUGAGCAGGCUCACUCUGCUCCCGCUGACUAAGCCAGAGAGCGCGGGGAAGAGAGUCGGGGGAUACAAGCAUAGCAGAGGUGGGGAGGGCCACUGUCACUGUGGGAACCGCCCCUGCCUCCAUCAGAUUCCCCACUGGACCAGGGAGCUCCUGGUGCCUGAGAGAAAGGGGACUCAAGUCCCUCUUUUGUGCAGAGGAACCAGAAGUCUGAAAAUAAAACAGUUUCUCAGGACACAAGCUAGUGCUUGAUCUGGACAAACCCUCCUGCCACGGCCAUCAGCACUCCCUGACGGUUUGCAUCACUGCGUGAUCAGACACAGCCCUGGGGUCUCACUCCAUGCAGCCUUCCCCAGGUGUGUCCUCACCCAGGUGCUUCCAACCCCUCCCCAUGUGUGUCCCCACCCUGGUGCUCCCAACCCCUCCCCAGGUGUGUCCCCACCCAGGUGCUCCCAACCCCACCCCUAGAUAUG